rnacentral:rRNA from 1 species
AACGAACGCUGGCGGCAGGCUUAACACAUGCAAGUCGAACGCAUCGCAAGAUGAGUGGCAGACGGGUGAGUAACGCGUGGGAAUCUACCGAGCCCUGCGGAAUAGCUCCGGGAAACUGGAAUUAAUACCGCAUACGUCCUUAGGGAGAAAGAUUUAUCGGGGUUUGAUGAGCCCGCGUUGGAUUAGCUAGUUGGUGGGGUAAAGGCCUACCAAGGCGACGAUCCAUAGCUGGUCUGAGAGGAUGAUCAGCCACAUUGGGACUGAGACACGGCCCAAACUCCUACGGGAGGCAGCAGUGGGGAAUAUUGGACAAUGGGCGCAAGCCUGAUCCAGCCAUGCCGCGUGAGUGAUGAAGGUCUUAGGAUUGUAAAGCUCUUUCACCGGAGAAGAUAAUGACGGUAUCCGGAGAAGAAGCCCCGGCUAACUUCGUGCCAGCCGCCGCGGUAACAC